GACGAACGCUGGCGGCGUGCUUAACACAUGCAAGUCGAACGGAAAGGCCCUGCUUUUGUGGGGUGCUCGAGUGGCGAACGGGUGAGUAACACGUGAGUAACCUGCCCUUGACUUUGGGAUAACUUCAGGAAACUGGGGCUACUCCCGGAUAGGAGCUCCUGCUGCAUGGUGGGGGUUGGAAAGUUUCGGCGGUUGGGGAUGGACUGGCGGCUUAUCAGCUUGUUGGUGGGGUAGGGGCCUACCAAGGGAUUGACGGGUAGCCCGCCUGGGAGGGGGGACGGGCUCAAUAGGACUAAGGGACGGCCCAGACGCCAAUGGGGGGCAACAGGGGGGAAUAUGGCACAACGGGACGAAGUCGGAGGCAAAAACCUCCGGGUCGGGAAGACCGUCUUUUGGGUAGAAAACGCUUUAGGCUGAUACCAAGCGGUAGUGACGGUAACGGGGAAAGAAGCACCGGCUAACUACGUG
rnacentral:rRNA from 1 species